AUCUAUGGCGGGCGGUGCGUGGGGGCCUCGUGCCCGCCGGCAUUUGACGACGUUAACCACCGGUAUUGGAACCACGCACCGUCCGCCACCCUC
rnacentral:antisense_RNA from 1 species